CCUACGGGUGGCAGCAGUGGGGAAUAUUGCACAAUGGGGGAAACCCUGAUGCAGCGACGCCGCGUGAGUGAAGAAGUAUUUCGGUAUGUAAAGCUCUAUCAGCAGGGAAGAAAAUGACGUUACCUGAUCAAGAAGCCCCGGCUAACUACGUGCCAGCAGCCGCGGUCAUACGGAGGGGGCAAGCGUUAUCCGGAUUUACUGGGUGGAAAGGGAGCGUAGACGGCAGCACAAGUCUGGAGGGAAAUGCCCGGGCUUAACCCCGGAACUGCUUUGGAAACUGUGCAGCUGGAGUGCAGGAGAGGUAAGUGGAAUUCCAAGUGUAGCGGUGAAAUGCGUAGAUAUUAGGAGGAACACCAGUGGCGAAGGCGGCUUACUGGACUGUAACUGACGUUGAGGCUCGAAAGCGUGGGGAGCAAACAGGAUUAGAUACCCCUGUAGUC
rnacentral:rRNA from 1 species